rnacentral:rRNA from 1 species
GAGGGGGAUAACUACUGGAAACGGUAGCUAAUACCGCAUAAUGUCGCAAGACCAAAGGGGGGACCUUCGGGCCUCAUGCCAUCAGAUUGCCCAGAUGGGAUUAGCUAGUAGGUGGGGAACGGCUCACCUAGGCGACGAUCCCUAGCUGGUCUGAGAGGAUGACCAGCACACUGGAACUGAGACACGGUCCAGACUCCUACGGGAGGCAGCAGUGGGAAUAUUGCACAAUGGGCGCAAGCCUAGAUGCAGCCAUGCCGCGUGUGUGAGAAGGCCUUCGGGUUGUAAAGCACUUUCAGCGGGGAGGAAGGCGGUGAGUUAAUAACCUUGUCGAUUGACGUUACCCGCAGAAGAAGAAGCACCGGCUAAUCCGUGCCAGCAGCCGCGGUAAUACGGAGGGUGCAAGCGUUAAUCGGAAUACUGGGCGUAAAGCGCACGCAGGCGGUCUGUCAAGUCCGAUGUGAAAUCCCGGGCUCAACCUGGGAACUGCAUUCCAAACUGGGAGGC